ACUAAUUACAAAACAAAGGGGCAGGUUACCUGCCCUUGCGAUUGAUCACAGGGACCCGGACAGACUAUACGCCGGAUGGUCGUUCCCCAUCGGGCGCGAAAAGAGGUCUCUCAUCAAUCUUGGGGGGUAGCACUGCUACCCUCAUUUUUUUCGGAGUUG
rfam:Mangrovibacter sp. MFB070 Contig-025, whole genome shotgun sequence.